rnacentral:rRNA from 1 species
UAGGGAAUCUUCCACAAUGGACGCAAGUCUGAUGGAGCAACGCCGCGUGAGUGAAGAAGGUCUUCGGAUCGUAAAGCUCUGUUGUUGGUGAAGAAGGAUAGAGGCAGUAACUGGUCUUUAUUUGACGGUAAUCAACCAGAAAGUCACGGCUAACUACGUGCCAGCAGCCGCGGUAAUACGUAGGGGGCAAGCGUUGUCCGGAUUUAUUGGGCGUAAAGCGAGCGCAGGCGGAAUGAUAAGUCUGAUGUGAAAGCCCACGGCUCAACCGUGGAACUGCAUCGGAAACUGUCAUUCUUGAGUGCAGAAGAGGAGAGUGGAACUCCAUGUGUAGCGGUGGAAUGCGUAGAUAUAUGGAAGAACACCAGUGGCGAAGGCGGCUCUCUGGUCUGCAACUGACGCUGAGGCUCGAAAGCAUGGGUAGCGAACAGGAUUAGAUACCCUGGUAGUCCAUGCCGUAAACGAUGAGCGCUAGGUGUUGG